AGCUUACUGCAAACACAAGUACUGUAUACCUUAGAAAUAUGGAAGUUUGACAUCGUGCAAUAUUAAAAUCUGUAUUUUCUCAUACACAUAAAAUAUCUGUGGGAUUAUAGUAUUGACCAGAUUUCUGGAGCCAUUCUCCUUUUGAUGUUUAAUAUUCAGUUUCUUUUUCCUGCACCAGCUGGAUGAUUUGGAAAAGCCUGCAGAGCUGUCAUCUCUCCUGUAUUUUAUUUCAAUGCAGAACAAUUCACUCCUGAGUCUUUCAACCAAAUAUGCCAAGCAGCAUACAAAAGCCAAAUGAAACUCAUGUUUCUAAUAGUUAUCACUGUAUCCUGGGACAUUGAGAGAUAACACCAGAAAAUCAUUCAUGAGCAACAGAGAGAAUAAAACAUAUUGCUACUGAUGGUAGAAUAGACAAAGAGAUAAUUGUAGCAUGGGAUGUACGUACAUUGUACAUGGUUUGUACUUUAAAUCUCAAAAUCUGAAGAAAACAAACAAAGGUUAUUGCUCCACCACCUUUGCUUAUUAUUGUAAUUGUCUAUAUUGUAUUCCCUCUAUCUACCCUUUUGAAUACCUUCAUGACAAUUUGACAGGUGCUCUUGGCACAUCUUUAAUGACAUAGAAAUACAUGCAAAUUCACAGGGGUGUAGCCAUAUAGUGUUUCAAUGAUGCAGAACUGGAAGAACUGACCUCCAAAGAAAGAUGAAGUUUUCAGGAGCCACUGCAGCAGCACUCCACCUGUGAUCUCCGUCACCAGAGACUGGCUUGUCCACAAAGUACCACUGCUGCAGGAUGAAAGCAAGAAAAAUCUCUGCAUUUGUGCAAAAGCUGUGUUUGUGGAAAAAGAAAGGAAAGGGAAAAGGAAAGAGGAAAAAGGUUAGCUCCAAUGACAAGCAAGGAAGCAGAUUCUGCUUUCCCUUAGUACGUUGUGGUAGCCUGAUACUAACCUUCACAGGUAGGAGACAAGACAGGGCUAAAGACCUGGAGGAGAAAGUUAGUACAGGUAAUUCAUGCCUCUUGGUAGCAGUUUUCUUGCAAUGUUUUGACUAGAGUUCACCACCAAAACCUCUAUUUUUAGUUACACAUUCUGCAGUCAAUUUCUUUGUACAAUAACUGAAAAUGAAGAAAUUGCAUGGACAACACAGGAAAAUGAAGACAUAAAGGCAAACAAAGAAUUAUCUGCCUGAGGGAAGGAGAAGUAUUCUAAAGUUCAAAAUGUGUUACAACGUUAAUCAUCUGAUCAAUACCAGUAAUCUCAGUGCAGAAAAAUACAUGGGAUUUGGUUUUUAAAUAGGUACAUGCAUUUUGGGGAAGUUCAUCUUCCCUAUAUUUUGUCUGUGAAGGAUGAGUUCAUCCUCCUAUACACCAGUAAGUACCAAAAUGAUAGUGAGACUUUCUACAUGAGAAAAAAGAAUUUCCCAUAGGCAGAAAGGAUGAGGAAUUCCAAACUUUUUAUUAUACCACCCAUUUCAGAAGUGCAUACCAAAGUAAAAACAUAGCAAAAAAAUGCGUAUGAGUUUGUGGUAACACACUAUUUGUACAGCAGCCCUCAGGCACAGCUGUAACUCAUGUAGAUUCCUAAGGACUUUUGAUUUAAAUUCUGUGUUUUUCUAAAAGUGCUCUGUUGAGACAACAAAAUGACUGUAAGCCAAAACCCACACUUUCGUUUCUAUCUACCCUCAGCUGCUAUUAUGCUGCAUUUAGAAAUACACAGGUAGGACAAUUACAGUACUUUGUUGCUAUAUUACUCUGAAAUUAAAUUUGAAAAUGAUGUUUCUUUAAAACUACAGAAAGACAUAAAUAUACCUUAACUUUUUUCUUUUUCUUUUUUUUUCCCAAGUUACACCUAAUAAACAUUGGCAGCAUGAAAACAACAGCUUUGAGCAAUUAGGGG
rnacentral:lncRNA from 1 species